GGAUCACCUCCCCCUUCUCAAUGCACCCCAGGACACCAUUGGCGCUCCUGGUUGGAAGGGCACUCUGCUGGCUCGUGGUGUACUUGUCAUCCACUAAGACUCCCAGGUCCUUCUCCAUAAAGCUACUAUCUAGUAGGUCAGCCUCCAACCUGUACUGGUAUUUGGGGUUGUUCCUACCCAGGUCCAGUACCUUACACUUGCCCUUGUUGAACCUCGUUAGGUUUCUCUCUACCCAAUUCUCCAGCCUAUCAAGGUCCCACUGAACCUAUUCAGCGGUACGGGAUUGCAUCCAGAUGGUUCUUGAAUAUCUCCAGUGAGGGAGACUCCACAGCCUUUCUGAGCAGUCUGUUCCAGUGUACAAUCACUCACACAGUAAAUAAGUUCUUCCUUGUGUUCAGGUGGAACUUCCUGUGCAUAAGUUUCUGCCUGUUGACUCUUGUCCUAUUGCUUGGCACAACUGAGUAGAGCCUGGGGUAAAGAGAUAAUUUCAGACAUGAUAAAGUUCUCCGGAUUUGGAGGGUGGAUCCUCAGCAGCCAUGUGAGAGCAAACAUUUAAAAUGUGUCUAAUUGUGAAUUCGGUUGCAGGAAUGAUAAUACUUUACAAGGGGCUGUGACCUUAAAGGUGUGAAAUCAAGACAAGGCAGGCACUGUGAACUUGU